GCCGUAGAUUUUUGGGAUAGGCCUGCCUCCGAUGUACAGUGCGUGCUCUCUGAGUGUUUGUAGUAAUAGUAGAGAUCUGAAAGCACAUAGUGAGUACAAGUGACCUAAAUAAGUAGUUGAGAACAAGCUAUACAAAAAGAAAAGAAAGGGGCGAAAAGCAAUAUUCAAGUGGCUUGGUGGAGUCGCGCAGGUAGAGUCGAUGGUCUUUACACUUGUCUGUCUUCACAUUAGGGCUGCCGCGACCGCUGCCGUGGUGAAACUAAACACUUUUAUAUUUGCCUGAGUACCUGUUAUUGAAGUCAGCUGGCCACGCCUUACUAUUUAGCAGACCAAAACUGGGGAGUCCCGCAAUAGGCAAACGCGAGAACAAAUGCCACUUCAGCACGUAUUUACCACGGUAAAAAACACAGUAAAUGAAACAAAGUUCCCUAGCAACGAUGACCCGCGCUGUAGUCUAAUGAGAAAACAAGGCAAAAAACUUACAAACUGCUGUCCUUAUCUGUUGCUCGACUGUUUUUGAGGCCCGCUAUCCUUCUGAAAUACCAGAGCAAUACCAGGUUUGAGAAAAUUGUGCAAAGUAUAUUAUUUUCUCUGCCACUUCCAGAUAUCUUUUUAAAAAAGUGUUUGUUUUUUUUAAAUGUGUAGUUUGAAAACAGCACCGAAAAAAAAAUUAUUACAAAAAACAUGAAGAAAUCUUAAAAGUUGUCAAUCAAAACAACAAGGCCUCUCAAGAGAGAAUCAAAGAGAGACUUGAAAUAAAAGAAGAAUAAAAGAAUGCCAUUGGUAUCUGGUGGAUACCAAUGGCAAAGCACUGCCAAAGGUGAACAUCAACCACCUAAAACCAUACAUAGAAGAGAUGCCCAGAAUACCCCACAAAUUAAAACCAUCAAGACAGAAGAAGAAAAAAAAAUACACAGGAUGUCACCACCACCACCAUAAACACCACAGAACAAGGCAGUCCCCUAAUCGAAGAUACUUUCUCCAGACAAGACAGCCCGAGAGCUUUUCAGCACAUCACUGUGGAAAAAGCAAACACUGAAGAAAUUACUCAGAAGCCUCCAUCAUUACAGGAAACUAACAUCACUGAUGCUUGGCCUGGGAAGCGUGCUCACAUGUUGCUUUCUAGAAAAGAAUAAAAUCUUUUAUUGGGACAUUGGACAGACAGGCCCAAACCAGGAAUUAGAGAGUGAGGUUGUCAAUGCCUAUUUAUAUUUAAUGAUGAGGAAAUAAAACAAGCUCCAUCUGGAAGAGGCCCUGUUUGUUGAUUCUUUUGAAAUGACUAGGAUCUGGAAUAGUGGACACUCCAAAUUAAAGGUAUGUGAACAGUGGCGUAGCGGACGGGCCCGCAGGGCACGCACUGCGGGGGGGCCCUGCGUUGUGGGGGGCCCCCCAAAAAUUGACUCGAAUAAAUAAUUAAAGCGUUUUUAUAACGUGAACGUAUAGGACUUUUAUUUUGGUAGUAAUUGCAGCCUACCGUGUUUGGCGAUUAUGACCAUAUCUGUUGUCCUUGUUAUCCAAUCACGAU